AUUGAACGCUGGCGGCAGGCCUAACACAUGCAAGUCGAGCGGAUGAAGGGAGCUUGCUCCUGGAUUCAGCGGCGGACGGGUGAGUAAUGCCUAGGAAUCUGCCUGGUAGUGGGGGAUAACGUCCGGAAACGGGCGCUGAUACCGCAUACGUCCUGAGGGAGAAAGUGGGGGAUCUUCGGACCUCACGCAAUCAGAUAAGCCUAGGUCGGAUUAGCUAGUUGGGGGGGUAAAGGCCUACCAAGGCGACGAUCCGUAACUGGUCUGAGAGGAUGAUCAGGCACACUGGAAAUGAGACACGGUCCAGACUCCUACGGGAGGCAGCAGUGGGGAAUAUUGGACAAUGGGCGAAAGCCUGAUCCAGCCAUGCCGCGUGUGUGAAGAAGGUCUUCGGAUUGUAAAGCACUUUAAGUUGGGAGGAAGGGCAGUAAGUUAAUACCUUGCUGUUUUGACGUUACCAACAGAAUAAGCACCGGCUAACUUCGUG
rnacentral:rRNA from 1 species